UACGUAGGGCGCAAGCGUUGUCCGGAAUUAUUGGGCGUAAAGAGCUCGUAGGUGGUUUGUCGCGUCUGCCGUGAAAGCCCGGGCUUAACUCCGGGUCUGCGGGUGGAUACGGGCAGACUAGAGGCAGGUAGGGGGAGAACGGGAAUUCCCGGUGUAGCGGUGAAAUGCGCAGAUAUCGGGAGGAACACCGGUGGCGAAGGCGGUUCUCUAGUACGGUACUGACGCUGAGACGCGAAAGCGUGGGGGAGCGAACAGG
rnacentral:rRNA from 1 species